GACGAACGCUGGCGGCAGGCUUAACACAUGCAAGUCGAGCGGGGAAAGGUAGCUUGCUACCUAACCUAGCGGCGGACGGGUGAGUAAUGCUUAGGAAUCUGCCUAUUAGUGGGGGACAACAUUCCGAAAGGAAUGCUAAUACCGCAUACGCCCUACGGGGGAAAGCAGGGGAUCUUCGGACCUUGCGCUAAUAGAUGAGCCUAAGUCAGAUUAGCUAGUUGGUGGGGUAAAGGCCCACCAAGGCGACGAUCUGUAGCGGGUCUGAGAGGAUGAUCCGCCACACUGGGACUGAGACACGGCCCAGACUCCUACGGGAGGCAGCAGUGGGGAAUAUUGGACAAUGGGCGAAAGCCUGAUCCAGCCAUGCCGCGUGUGUGAAGAAGGCCUUUUGGUUGUAAAGCACUUUAAGCGAGGAAGAGGCUACUUGGAUUAAUACUCUAGGAUAGUGGACGUUACUCGCAGAAUAAGCACCGGCUAACACUUUGCCAGCAGCCGCCGUAAGAC
rnacentral:rRNA from 1 species